UGGAGAGUUUGAUCCUGGCUCAGGACGAACGCUGGCGGCGUGCUUAACACAUGCAAGUCGAACGGAAAGGCCCUUCGGGGUGCUCGAGUGGCGAACGGGUGAGUAACACGUGGGUGAUCUGCCCUGCACUUUGGGAUAAGCCUGGGAAACUGGGUCUAAUACCGAAUAGGACCGCGCUCUUCAUGGGGUGUGGUGGAAAGCUUUUGCGGUGUGGGAUGGGCCCGCGGCCUAUCAGCUUGUUGGUGGGGUAAUGGCCUACCAAGGCGACGACGGGUAGCCGGCCUGAGAGGGUGACCGGCCACACUGGGACUGAGAUACGGCCCAGACUCCUACGGGAGGCAGCAGUGGGGAAUAUUGCACAAUGGGCGCAAGCCUGAUGCAGCGACGCCGCGUGAGGGAUGACGGCCUUCGGGUUGUAAACCUCUUUCAGUACCGACGAAGCGCAAGUGACGGUAGGUACAGAAGAAGGACCGGCCAACUACGUGCCAGCAGCCGCGGUA
rnacentral:rRNA from 1 species